AACAGAAAACAAUAUUUUACCUCAAGUUCUCUUUGGAGGAUUGACAGCCCAUACUGUCCUCUUCGAGCUAUCCAGGAAUGUGUCCAUUGUCGGGUUUUCUUUCUUUUUUUACUUUUUUCUGAACACAGGACAUCCAAUACAACACUCACCGCUUCAUCCAUUGUUUACGGCACGCGAUGACUGGUCAGGAAGCAACGUGUAGUCUGACAUGUUUCUUGUCCACGACACGACAAGAUUUUAGGAGUCAAAAUCGCGUAAUCUGACACAGUGACUAUCGUAA